GCCUGCAGUCAGAUGAACAGGACAUCUUAGCAUCUUGAAUUCUUAACAUGUAUCCAAUAGAGUCAGUUCACAAAAAAAUGCAAAGUAGCAAAGUCUGUUCGACAUGUCUUUCUAUUUUCAUAUAUAUAGCAAGACUCAUAAAUCUGUAACAACCUGCCCUUAUGGACUGAAUUUCUGUACAAUGGGAACGGGCCUUUAGUAAUGUUGAUAUUUCACGUGAUCUGCUUGCAGAGUCAGUUUACAAGUUUUUGCGUGAUACCUGAGUCUGUUGGACAUGUCUUUUUUUAGUAGUUACAUAUGGGGACUCCACACAACAAGCCAGCGGAACAGACGACUUCAUCACAUGUACCUCCAGGUAUAUGUUCACCUAUAAAUUGUGCUACACAAGUCAAACAUAUAUAUGUUCAACUAUAUAUGUGUUGUAGGCCCGAUGGAGGGGACAAGUGUUGACGACUCUAACGAAGGGAUUAUACCCGUAGCCGAUGAUGUUGACAAAAUUUACCCAUGUAGUCCAGGUAUAAGGUUUAUUUUUAUCCUUUUUAGUUAAAAAAUCAUACCUAACAGACUUGGGCACACCCGAUUCUAAUGUAUCAACAUCUUUACUUCUAGGAGUCCAUAUUACUCCCUCCGAACGGAUGAUACUUGAGACCGAUGGUGAUAGCACAUAUGAUACUCCAGGUAUAUAUCUACCUCCUUGUAUAUGUUCAGCUACAUAUUUUGUUAUACAUGACAAACACCAUCACAGGAGAUGUUGCAGGCCCGAUGGAGGGGCCAAAUGGUGACGACUCUAAUGAAGGGGUUAUACCUGGAGCCGACGAUGUUCACAAGAAUUACCCAAGUAGUCCAGGUACUAAGGCUGUGCAUAUAUACUGAGAUUGCUUUUAUGCUUUUUAUGUGAUAAAUCAUACCUAACAGACUUGGGCAGAACCGAUUCUAAAAGAUCAAGCAUGUGACUUGUAGGAGUCCAUAUUACUCACUCGGACAGGACGAUACUUGAACAGGCCGAUUGUGAAAGGACAUAUGUUCAUCAACCUUCCCAUCUGAUUUCGGGUAAGUAUUAUGUUGCCGAAAGGUUAAGACCAUGUGCCUACAACUUUGCCUUGUUUCGGUCCAAUAUAUUGUUAUGUUAACAUGAUGCAGACAACCCUUCAAUCUCAUUCCUAUAUAAUGUAGAUUCGUUGCCAGCUCUCAGUUAUCUGACAAAAUAACUAGCUAGAAUGCAACGUGACAGUUGGCAAGAGAGGCCGCAUAAUGUUCCACGCCAUCUUCACAGUGAUAUCACUAAUGCAGAUCAACCAUCCUCUGUGGACCUUGACAAAAAAGAGAGUUGAUAAAAGCUCGGAGGCGAGCUGCUUAUAGAAAGAAAAAAGAGGAGGCUACUGUCAAGCAACAAGAGGAAAAUCUGUCUGCCCUUACGAUAUCAGAUAUGCUGAAUGUGGGUGGGUUACCUCUCGGUGAUAUCACUAAUGUGUGUCAACCAACCACGGUGGACCUUGACGAUAAAAAAGAGCAACUAAAGUCUCGGAGAAGAGCUGCUUAUCGAAAGAAAAAAGAGGAGGCAGCCAACAAGCAAAAAGAUGAAAAUCUGACUGCCCUUACGAUAUCAGGUAAGGAUGUUUAUGUUUCAGCAAUAUGAUGACCGUAUGUAUACUUUCUUAGUGAAUAAUGUAGGCGACAUAUGUUUCCUCACCCCAACCCCACGAAUAAUUGACCAAGAAUAGAGAAUAAAAAUAAUUGACCAAUAGUUGACCACUGUGUUAACAUACAAUUCCUGAUCAUUUAGCUAUACAUCAUUGUUUAACCUGACC